AAGCAUCGAUAACACUGUAAUUCACCCUCUUUCCCGCUAGGUGACACAAAUACGCAUGCGUCCUUGUGCCAAUAACAUGAUGGAGUGAAUGAAAAAAAACUGCAGAUGCCUGUUUGGAUACAUUGUCAACAUGUGCAAUAACCAGGUAUUUAAACUUUUUUUUUGUUUCAAAUCAUAUUUUUCUAAGCGCAUAAUCCAAGUAGAGUGAUCAAUUAUUUACAUCUCGCACAUUUAUUUUGUUGACAGUAGUUACAAGGAAAAUGACAACGUUACAUAAACAUUCAAGCACAGGUGUCAAACUCGAGGCCUGCGAAAGCUCGCCACAAUUUUUCAAAACUAGCUGUAAAAUGAACACCAAUUGCAGGGGCAAUUAUGAAACAUGAUCGAGCAAUUAUUCCCACACGCUGAACAUGUUAGGUCAGGGACGAGAAGUAGCCACACGCCAGGUCCGCAAACAAACACAGUGCAGCUCAGUUUCUGACUCGCGGACGACAUCAUGGCUCGCCAUAUGUUUUUUUGUUUUUUCCAGCUGCAUUUAAACAACCUAAUAAGCCAGCA